GCACCAUCUGGUUAGCUCAGUAGGUAGAGUGCUGGACUGUGAAUCUGGUGACCCGGGUUCGAUUCCCGGACAGUGCC